rnacentral:rRNA from 1 species
CUUAGAAUGCAGUCGAACGGUAAAUACCUUCGGGUAUGAGAGUGGCGAACGGUCGCGUAACACGUGAGCAACCUGCCUUCAAGUGGGGGACAACAGGCCGAAAGGCCUGCUAAUACCGCAUGUGGCCAUCCCUUCGCCUGGAGGGAUGUCUAAAGGAUUUAUUCGCUUGAAGAUGGGCUUGCGGCCUAUCAGGUAGUUGGUGGGGUAACGGCCUACCAAGCCGACGACGGGUAGCUGGUCUGAGAGGACGAUCAGCCGGAUUGGGACUGAGAUACGGCCCAGACUCCUACGGGGGGCAGCAAUUAGGAAUCUUGCGCAAUGGGGGCAACCCUGACGCAGCGACGCCGCGUGGAGGAUGAAGGCCUUCGGGUCGUAAACUUCUUUUAAGUGGGAAGAAAUUUGACGGUACCACUUGAAUAAGCCCCGGCUAACUACGUGCCAGCAGCCGCGGUAAUACGUAGGGGGCGAGCGUUGUCCGAAGUUACUGGGCGUAAAGCGCGCGUAGGCGGUCUCUUAAGUCUGGGGUGAAAGGUUCAGCGCUCAACGUGAACAGUGCCUUGGAUACUGGGGGACUUGAGUUAGGGAGAGGGAAGUGGAAUUCCUGGUGUAGCGGUGAAAUGCGUAGAUAUCAGGAGGAACACCAGUGGCGAAGGCGGCUUCCUGGCCUAUAACUGACGCUGAGGUGCGAAAGCGUGGGGAGCGAACGGGAUUAGAUACCCCGGUAGUCCACGCCGUAAACGAUGAGUGCUAGGUGUUCGAGGUAUCGACCCCUCGGGUGCCGUCGCCAACGCAUUAAGCACUCCGCCUGGGGAGUACGGGCCGCAAGGUUGAAACUCAAGGAAUUGACGGGGGCCCGCACAAGCGGUGGAGCAUGUGGAUU